UCUUUCGAUGGCUGCAUGAAGCUUGUUCCGCUUUAAAUUUCAAGGUUAAUCUAUUGCUAUGAGCACUGGUGUUUCAAUUUGAAACUUGAGUUGCAACUGAACUUAAAUGAAUAGUGUUGGAUUUGGGGCCUUC